rnacentral:tRNA from 1 species
GAGGUGCUAGUAAAACUAUUACAUAGCCUUGUCAUGGCUAAGUUACAGGUGAAACCCCAGUGCAUCUCU